UAGCUCAGCUUUAGCAAUCUAGGCACUCUUCACUGUUCGAGUUGUAAUUUGAAGAAGGUAUCUUUGGAGUUGGCCCCCGUCUAUGUUCCUUGGAACAGGACGUCACAGAGGGUGAGAAUCCCGUGCGAUGGGGAGACCAAUUCUAUGUAAAGUUCCUUCGAAGAGUCGAGUUGUUUGGGAAUGCAGCUCUAAGUGGGUGGUAAAUUCCAUCUAAAGCUAAAUAUUGGCGAGAGACCGAUAGCGAACAAGUACAGUGAUGGAAAGAUGAAAAGAACUUUGAAAAGAGAGUGAAAAAGUACGUGAAAUUGUUGAAAGGGAAGGGCUUUUGAUCAGACUUGGUGUUUAGUACUCUCUACUCCUUGUGGGUGGGGCUCUUGCUUUAUACUGGGCCAGCAUCGGUUUGGAUGGUAGGAUAAUAGCAUUGGAAUGUGGCUUCAUUCGUGAAGUGUUAUAGCCCUUGUUGAUACUACCUAUCUAGACCGAGGACUGCGUCUUUUGACUAGGAUGCUGGCGUAAUGAUUAAAAGCC
rnacentral:rRNA from 1 species